rnacentral:rRNA from 1 species
GAUGAACGCUAGCUACAGGCUUAACACAUGCAAGUCGAGGGGCAGCAUGUCGGUUGCUUGCAACCGACGAUGGCGACCGGCGCACGGGUGAGUAACGCGUAUCCAACCUACCCUUGUCCAUCGGAUAACCCGUCGAAAGGCGGCCUAACACGAUAUGCGGUUCUCAGCAGGCAUCUAACGAGAACGAAAUGUGAAGGAGAAGGAUGGGGAUGCGUCUGAUUAGCUUGUUGGCGGGGUAACGGCCCACCAAGGCUACGAUCAGUAGGGGUUCUGAGAGGAAGGUCCCCCACAUUGGAACUGAGACACGGUCCAAACUCCUACGGGAGGCAGCAGUGAGGAAUAUUGGUCAAUGGACGGGAGUCUGAACCAGCCAAGUAGCGUGCAGGAUGACGGCCCUAUGGGUUGUAAACUGCUUUUAUAGGGGGAUAAAGUGUGCCACGUGUGGCAUAUUGCAGGUACCCUAUGAAUAAGGACCGGCUAAUUCCGUGCCAGCAGCCGACGG